UCGGCUUAGAGUUUGAUCAUGGCUCAGAUUGAACGCUAGCGGAAUGCUUUACACAUGCAAGUCGAACGGCAGGAGAGCUUGCUCUCUGCGAGUGGCGAACGGGUGAGUAAUGUAUCGGAACAUACCCAGUAGCGGGGGAUAACUACUCGAAAGAGUGGCUAAUACCGCAUACGCCCUACGGGGGAAAGGGGUUAGUCUCACUAUUGGAGUGGCCGAUAUCGGAUUAGCUAGUUGGUGGGGUAAAGGCUCACCAAGGCGACGAUCCGUAGCUGGUUUGAGAGGACGACCAGCCACACUGGGACUGAGACACGGCCCAGACUCCUACGGGAGGCAGCAGUGGGGAAUUUUGGACAAUGGGCGCAAGCCUGAUCCAGCCAUUCCGCGUGUGUGAUGAAGGCCUUCGGGUUGUAAAGCACUUUUGUCAGGGAAGAAACAGCGAUGGUAAUCUGUCGUGAUGACGGUACCUGAAGAAUAAGCACCGGCUAACUACGUGCCAGCAGCCGCGGUAAUACGUAGGGUGCAAGCGUUAAUCGGAAUUACUGGGCGUAAAGCGUGCGCAGGCGGUUCGGAAAGAAAGAUGUGAAAUCCCAGAGCUCAACUUUGGAACUGCAUUUUUAACUACCGGACUAGAGUGUGUCAGAGGGGGGUGGAAUUCCGCGUGUAGCAGUGAAAUGCGUAGAGAUGU
rnacentral:rRNA from 1 species